ACUCCUACGGGAGGCAGCAGUGGGAAUAUUGCGCAAUGGGCGAAAGCCUGACGCAGCGACGCCGUGUGAGUGAUGAAGGCCCUCGGGUCGUAAAGCUCUGUCAGGGGGACGGAACCAUCCACGAGUUAAUAUCUCAGUUGGACUUGACGGUACCUCCGAAAGGAACGCAACCGGCUAACUCCGUGCCAGCAGCCGCGGUAAUACGGAGGGUGCGAGCGUUGUUCGGAAUUACUGGGCGUAAAGCGCGUGUAGGCGGCUUUUUAAGUCUGGUGUGAAAUCCCGGGGCUCACCCCGCAGUAGCUGAUGACUGGAAAGCUAGAGUACCGGAGAGGAGGGUGGAAUUCCUGGUGUAGCGGUGAAAUGCGUAGAUAUCAGGAGGAACACCGGUGGCGAAGGCGGCCCUCUGGACGGAUACUGACGCUGAGACGCGAAAGCGUGGGGAGCAAACAGGAUUAGAUACCCUGGUAGGCUCUG
rnacentral:rRNA from 1 species